rnacentral:lncRNA from 1 species
GGGAGUGGGGAGAUGGUGUGCGGGGGAGACUGACUGCAAGCCAGUACUUGACCGUUGCUAGAAACCUGUGUCACUACAACCUGGAGCCCGGCUCCUAUUACUUCAUGCCUGAUGGUCGCUGUUAUAGUCGGUCUACAGAGGGGAACUCCUGUCUCCCCAGGGUUGUCAUGACAGCCUUUGUUGGAAGAGAGCAGGAGAACAUGACACGUAUGAUGGAGUGUGUACAUCCCUGCCAGUGGUCCUGCUGGGGGAAUCAGUGAUGGGAUAAAUGUGUGCAUCCCUGCAGUGGUCCUGCUGGGGGAUCAGUGAUGGGAUGGGGCAGAGCCCCUAUUUCCUUAGAGAACUCUAACCCAAAUAAGGAACUGAGCCCUCUGCAGUGAGGGCUUCUGAAAACCCUGUACAUAGCAAACUGUGUGCCCUCUUCAUCAUGCAGUCCCCACCUCCUGAUUCUCGGGAUGGAACUGACUUUUGGUUGGAAUGAAAUAGACGCUCA